GUGGAGCCCAAGCGGGCUCCGCCUGCUCCAGGCACCGGCCCGGAUCCCGGCAGGGUCCACUCAGCCCUUCAUCCUUCCGAGGUGGAUAAAAUGAGUGCCACACAGGGGGUGUGUGGGGGUCUUCUGGCAAGACCUUAAAACGUGGGUGGGGGGAUGUGGUGGAGCCUGGGACCUGUCAGGCUGGAGGAUCCCAAGGAGACAUCCUCAUCUGCCAAGAUGCAACUUUCAUCCUGGUGCAGAUAAAUUGUUCUUUCUACAGAACUUGGAACAGGCAAAAAAGCCUUACUUAAAGCUGCAUAGAAAUAAAUAAUUUCAAAUCUUGCCAACUCCUGUAGCCACCUGCCACCGUACCUGUUCUGCUGUCCGUGGCUGGUACAUUCCAGUGGUGAGCUGAGAGGAAGCCCCAGGCAGGAAGCAGUCCUCUCCUGCUGGUGGGGAGGCCUGUGCCGAAAACCUGGGAACAGAUCCCUGCAGCACAAAAAACCUGGAGCGUGAGGGAGCUGAUAAUUCCCACGCUGCUCUGGCAAUUACUUUUGCUGAAAUAAUUAAUAGGUUAAUUGAGUAUCUUCGAAUGGGGGGGAAAUUAAUUUCUUUGUAUUUAGAUAGAGGUUGUUCCUUCUGCCUCUGCUCUGAUUAUCAAAGCUCUGAAGGAGCCACCUCGUGACAGGAAGAAGCAGAAGAACAGUAAGCACAGCGGCAGCGCA